rnacentral:rRNA from 1 species
AUUGAACGCUGGCGGCAGGCCUAACACAUGCAAGUCGAGCGGAGAGGCGGACGGGUGAGUAAUGCCUAGGACUCUGCCUGGUAGUGGUGGAUAACGUCCGGCAACGGGCGCUAAUACCGCAUACUAUCAGAUGAACCUAGGUCGGAUUAGCUAGUUCGUGGGGUAACGGCUUACCAAGGCGACGAUCCGUAACUGGUCAGAGAGGAUGAUCAGUCACACUGGAACUGAGACACGGUCCAGACUCCUACGUGAGGCAGAAGUGGGGAAUAUUGCACAAUGGGCGAAAGCCUGAUGCAGCCAUGCCGCGUGUGUGAAGAAGGUCUUCGGAUUGUAAAGCACUUUAAGUUGGGAGGCGUUACCAACAGAAGAAGCACCGGCUAACUUCGUGCCAGCAGCCGCGGUAAUUC